rnacentral:rRNA from 1 species
CCUACGGGGGGCUGCAGUCGAGAAUCUUCUGCAAUGCGCGAAAGCGUGACAGAGCGAUGUCGCGUGGUCGAUGAAGGCCUUCGGGUUGUAAAGACCUGUCACCCGGGACGAAAAAAAUGACUGUACCGGGAGAGGAAGCCACGGCUAACUACGUGCCAGCAGCCGCGGUAAUACGUAGGUGGCGAGCGUUGUUCGGAUUUAUUGGGCGUAAAGGGUCCGCAGGGGGUUUGCUAAGUCUGAUGUGAAAUCCCGGAGCUCAACUCCGGAACUGCAUUGGAGACUGGUAGACUAGAGUAUCGGAGAGGUAAGCGGAAUUCCAGGUGUAGCGGUGGAAUGCGUAGAUAUCUGGAAGAACACCGAAAGCGAAGGCAGCUUACUGGACGGUAACUGACCCUCAGGGACGAAAGCGUGGGGAUCAAACAGGAUUAGAUACCCUGGUAGUC